rnacentral:rRNA from 1 species
AUUGAACGCUGGCGGCAGGCCUAACACAUGCAAGUCGAACGAGUGGCGGACGGGUGAGUAAUGUGAGGGAAACUGCCUGAGGGAGGGGGAUAACGACUGGAAACGGUAGCUAAGACCGCAUACCAUCAGAUGUGCCCAGGUGGGACUAGCUAGUAGGUGAGGUAACGGCCCACCUAGGCGACGAUCACUAGCUGGUCUGAGAGGAUGAUCAGCCACACUGGAACUGAGACACGGUCCAGACUCCUACGGGAGGCAGCAGUGGGGAAUAUUGCACAAUGGGCGAAAGCCUGAUGCAGCCAUGCCGCGUGUAUGAAGAAGGCCUUCGGGUUGUAAAGUACUUUCAGCGGGGAGGCGUUACCCGCAGAAGAAGCACCGGCUAACUCCGUGCCAGCCGCCGCGGUAAUUC